rnacentral:misc_RNA from 1 species
CCGAGUUUACAACUCCCAAACCUCUGUGAACAUACCACUUGUUGCCUCGGCGGAUCAGCCCGCUCCCGGUAAAACGGGACGGCCCGCCAGAGGACCCCUAAACUCUGUUUCUAUAUGUAACUUCUGAGUAAAACCAUAAAUAAAUCA